rnacentral:pre_miRNA from 1 species
AAUAAAUGAAUUUCUGUGUUUUUUGAUAGAAUAUUUGACUCUUCAUCUUAUUUGAAAUUUUUUUAUAAUUAAUAUUUUUAUUGUUACUACAUGAUAAAGUAUGAAUAAUAUUUUACGUGCGACUAAUUUUUUUUUAACUUUUUAAUAAAAUUUCAAAUAAGACAGAUGGGCAAACGCUCGAACUACCAAACCCAGGAAUGCUUUUUUU